rnacentral:rRNA from 1 species
UACGUAGGGUGCAAGCGUUAAUCGGAAUUACUGGGCGUAAAGCGUGCGCAGGCGGCGAUGUAAGACAGUUGUGGAAUCCCCGGGCUCAACCUGGGAACUGCAUCUGUGACUGCAUCGCUGGAGUACGGUAGAGGGGACGGAAUUCCGCGUGUAGCAGUGAAAUGCGUAGAUAUGCGGAGGAACACCGAUGGCGAAGGCAAUCCCCGUGGACCUGUACUGA